UGGUCAUAACUUUCCUUCCAAGGAGUAGGAGUCUUUUAAUUUCAUGGCUGGCAUGUGCUUCUCCUCAAAUCUCUUCCCCCACACGGACCCAAGUCCUCCACUCCAGCCCUCCACAUUGUACUUCCCAGCAAGAGAACUCCCCCGCUUUAGGAACGGGGCCCAGGGGCACAGGCUGGUGGGUGUGGUUUCUCCCCUGAGAGCAGGGCGCACGUGCGGUGUCUGGUAAUGUUCCAGCCUCCCACCAGGGUCAUUUUUGUCCUGCCCCACGGUGGAAAGCCCCUACCCUUCCUGAUCAUUUCAAAAGUUGCACAAUAUUCCAUCCAGUGGACCUGCCAUGGUUUAUUUAAACAUUCCCCCCUCCGUCAGGGCUGUAGAUUUUUUUUUUCCCUGUUGGUUUCUUUUUCUGUCAUAAAUAAAGCGCCCUUUGUUUUCCAUUCCUCUCUGUCUGAGGCCUCCAUCAAUAUUUACAAGAGAAGCGGUUCCGUCUGGAAGAACCAGGUUGCUGAAACAACCAUAGCAACCGCAGCCGUUGCCUGCCUGGGGCCUGGGUUCCACUCUUGCUGCAGGGCACAGAGCUGCCCUUGAGAAUGGCCAGUGGGAAGGGCGAGGCCGGAGGCCCUGCUGCCCUGGGGGAUUCCUGGAGCUAGAAUGCAAGACAAGGGUUCCCGCCCUACAUGCCAGGCACUGAGCGCUCGCUUUUUACGCCUCCCCUCACAAGCCCAGUUUACAAGUGAGAAGAGUGAGGCUCAGAGAGCACAAGGACACUUGCUAAAGACCCCCAGUCUCCUGAAAAGCAUCCUUGACCCUGGCCUGCCGACUCAGCACAGCGUCCUUUCCCUUCCUCUGCCGUGAAGCACAGAGCCAAGGACGUGGCGUCCACUGUCUCCUGCCCCUCAUCCCUGUCCGUCCCCCACCGGCCGAUGAUGCUCUAUCCUUAAAACUGGAACUCAGAAGAAACCGUCUGCAGCUCUCCGACCCUCCACACCUGCACCUGUCAAAAGGGUUUGCCACCACCAGCCUCCAGCGGAGCUGUAAGGACUGGUCCAGGGGCUGCUCCACGGUCGGUCCCAGAAGCAGCAUCGUCUUCUGCAGGGAGGCUGCUGUAAGCCAGCUCAGGGGAGGGAUCCCUCAUACACCCACUGCCGUUUCUCACUGGCCUGGUCCCGUGGAAGGAGGUCGUCUGACAUUUAAGCUCCAGACGCCCCAUCUUGUUUGACAAGGUCUAGGGACUGGGGAAGGAGGCUCAAGCUAUGCAUAGACCAUCCGGGCUUUGAGAUGAACCUCUGCGGUCCUUUAACAGGGUGAGUGACUGGCUGACCUGAGUUUCCCAGACUCAAAGCAUUAGGCAUUUCCCCAGGGCAUCCGACAGCAGUGAAGAGCGCCAGAGGCUGCUCAGAG
rnacentral:lncRNA from 1 species